GCGGGAACAGACGGCCCCGUAACACGGGCCGCCCCCGCCAGAGGACCCCCUAACUCUGUUUCUAUAAUGUUUCUUCUGAGUAAACAAGCAAAUAAAUUAAAACUUUCAACAACGGAUCUCUUGGCUCUGGCAUCGAUGAAGAACGCAGCGAAAUGCGAUAAGUAAUGUGAAUUGCAGAAUUCAGUGAAUCAUCGAAUCUUUGAACGCACAUUGCGCCCGCCAGUAUUCUGGCGGGCAUGCCUGUUCGAGCGUCAUUACAACCCUCAGGCCCCCGGGCCUGGCGUUGGGGAUCGGCGGAAGCCCCCUGCGGGCACAACGCCGUCCCCCAAAUACAGUGGCGGUCCCGCCGCAGCUUCCAUUGCGUAGUAGCUAACACCUCGCAACUGGAGAGCGGCGCGGCCACGCCGUAAAACACCCAACUUCUGAAUGUUGACCUCGAAUCAGGUAGGAAUACCCGCUGAACUUAAGCAUA
rnacentral:rRNA from 1 species